rnacentral:rRNA from 1 species
AUACGGGGGGUGCAAGCGUUGUCCGGAAUCAUUGGGCGUAAAGGGUUCGUAGGUGGAAUUAUAAGUCUGGUGUGAAAGCCCACAGCUCAACUGUGGAACUGCACUGGAUACUGUUUUUCUUGAGUUAUAGAGGGGUUUGUGGAAUUUCUGGUGUAGAGGUGAAAUUUGUAGAGAUCAGAAAGAACACCGGUGGCGAAGGCGACAAACUGGCUAUUGACUGACACUGAGGAACGAAAGCGUGGGGAGCGAACAGGAUUAGAAACCCUAGUAGUCC